UACGUAGGUGGCAAGCGUUGUCCGGAUUUAUUGGGUUUAAAGGGUGCGUAGGCGGCCCCGUAAGUCAGUGCUGAAAUAUCCCGGCUUAACCGGGAGGGUGCCUUUGAUACGGCUUGUCUUGAGUGCGAAAGAGGAUGAUGGAAUUCCUGGUGUAGCGGUGAAAUGCGUAGAUAUCUGGAGGAACACCGAUGGCGAAGGCAGCCUUCUGGGCCAACACUGACGCUCAUGCACGAAAGCGUGGGGAGCAAACAGG
rnacentral:rRNA from 1 species